AGAAUUUACAAAAAUACAGAAUCAAUAUAAUACCUAGAAAUAAUGUCAUAAAAUAAUCGAAUUUGAAAAUUUGCUUGGUUACUUAUUAUACCGUAAAUUUAUGUUUCUCUUUGCGACGCAAACGUUCUGACCCAAGGGCGCUCGCUCAGGUAAUGCAUUAAGUCCCAUGGCACAGACCAGAAGCUAAGGGGGCCGAGACCUGUUUGAAGUUCUUUGAAUUUUGUGAAUAGAAUUGAAAUUCAUCAAAUGAAUUUGUUGACCCGCUGGCACAGUGGCCAAAUAAUUUAUGUGACUUUCGAUGCUGAUGCUGAUGUUGAUGUUUAUCUGCAGCUGAAGGUAAGGCGGAAAGUAGCUUAUCGACAGCACAGCUCAUGAUAUUUUUGCUGGCCGAAGCAAAACUGAAACGUAGUGAUGAAAACCUUUUGAUAAGCGAAGAAUAACAGUUGACUUCUGUUGUGGAGACUGUGAUUUAUUUGGCUUUUAAAGCGCAUUUUAAAGUGCUCAACCGUAAAAACAAACAGUUGAAAAUUCUGCUGACUUUUAUGUUCAGUCAUAAAAAAAAAUUGUAUGUUUGUUGUUGCAGUUGUUGAAGUCGAGUCCCAGGCUCAUAUUUGCGCUAGCAUUUUUUAAUUUUUUUGAUACUAAUUAAAAAUUGUAUAUUUAUCAAAGUUAGAGCGUGACAGCAGAGGGCAAAGCAAUUUGCCGAAAUAACCGAAAACUAAAAACAUAUGCGGCAAAGCAAACGCAUGUGCACAACAUCCGGACGCACACAUAUUUUUGCGGGCAGAAAGAUUUUUGUUGACAGAAGUUUACAAUAAAACGAAAGUUUAAUGCACAAGUUUUUGCCCC